rnacentral:lncRNA from 1 species
GAGCAAAUUGAAGCUACAACGGCGAAUCUCACUUCCCCUACAUUGUAAUUCAAAAGAUUGAAGCCACAACGGUGAAUCUUACUUCCCAGGCGAUGCACCGGAAUAGAUUGAAGCUACAACGGCGAAUCUCACUUCCCCUACAUUGCAAUUCAAAGAUUGAAGCCACAACGGUGAAUCUUACUUCCCAGGCAAUGCAGCGGAGCAGAUUGAAGCUACAACGGUGAAUCUCACUUCCCCUACAUUGCAAUUCAAAAGAUUGAAGCCACAACGGUGAAUCUUACUUCCCA